GACAGCAUGGCAUAGUGGUUUGAAAGUUGGACUAUGACUCUGGAGACCAGGGUUCGAAUCCCCAUUCAGCCG